AUAAAGCCUUCUUUGGCAAUACUUGUUACUGAAGUGACUGGCUUUCUGUGAGAGCAAGCAGCAGGACCUAGUCCAAACCCCUGGCAUUUUUGUAACUGUUACGUGCAUCCGUUUGAAGAGACCAGCAAACAGGCUUUGUGUGAGCAAUAAAGCUUUUAAUUACCUGGGUGCAAGUGUCCUGAGUCCGAAAAAGGAGUCAGCAAAGGGAGAUAGGGGUGGUGCAGUGUUAUAGGAUUUGGAGGUGGGCUUUGAUCUCUCUCUCUCUGUGGUCCACUGCCUCUGGCCUCAGCCGCAUUCCUGAUUGCCUAGGAAGAACAACCUUUGACAUUUGACAUCUGCAUCUGAAUGGCCAUGUGAGGACACCUAGAUGAUGUCAUUUAUGAGGAAAGGGCCUUCAUCAGACUCUGGUCCUGCUGGUGCCUUGAUCUUGGACUUCCUACUCUCCAGAACUGCACAUCAUUAAAAUAUCAACUUUGGCAGAGACGUGGAGCAAGAUGACUGCAUAGAAGUUUCUACUGAUCAUUUCCCACCGCUUCCACGGGAACACCAAGUUUGAUAUCCACACAAAGGGAGCACCUUCAAAGGAAGCAAAAAUCAGAUACAUUCCCAUUGAGGCACGAAAAUGGAUCUAGCCACAGCUCUGAUGAUAUUGCUUUGCCUUUAACAGUACCUCCCAUUAGUCUCUUGCACCAAGAUGCACAUUUUUCAGUUUACAUAGUGGAUUUCAUCAUUCUACUAGAAAGCCUCCACUUUGUUUCUGAUUCAGUUUCAGUUUCCAAACCAGGUGCUUUGUCCCUCACUGACUGUUUUGGAUGACCUCUAGUUUUUCCCCAAGGUUCUAAAUUUAGUUUGGCUUUUAUUUGGCCAUCAUUUUAAUUCCCACUUUUUGUUUUGGUGCUGUUGAUUGUACAAUCCAACCAUCUCUACCUUUCAAUAUUUGCAGGUUUCUUUUUUCCUGUUUGUCUUGAACAUUCUGAUUUUUCCUAACCUUUGAGUCACCUGCCUCUGUUUUACCAUGUCAUUGAAUUAUGGUUUAGUCAAGUGGAAAGACAAGCUCCUGUCACUGCCUAUAGCACUGCCUAGUUUCCUUCCAAUUAUCAAUAAAAUUCUUUGUUAUUAGGUUUCUUCUGUUCCACUAUAAGCUCAAGUAAUUCACAACAAUAAAACAAGACAAAAAUAAUUAACAUUCACGAGAAUAAAGAGCAGCCAUUAAAUCAUGAAGUUAUCAGGGUAAGUAUGCCUUUGAGAUGGUCUGUGCCUCUCUGACCUUCUGUUCUGGAACUGAUGUACCCAAUCAGUCAAUUUUACUGAUGUACAACAAAUUAUGUUCUAUAUAUUUUUUCAAACCAUUGAUGAAAUUUGAACACUGAGGCUACCAACUUCUCUCUCUGUACUUUUUGCUUAAACUGG
rnacentral:lncRNA from 10 species